CAGUGAUGAUGAUGGUCUUCCCCGAACCAUCCACAUACUCUCAACUCGGAGCUAGAGUGAACACUGGAAAUCUUGGCCAUGUCUUCCCUGGUUGCUUCUGGGGCUGCUGGCCUUGGGGAUCUCUGCUAACCUCCCCAGGAAACUAUCUGCGGGCAAGAGUUUCUCUUUUGAUGCAGUUGUGGUUUUGCAAGUCUGUCUCUUUAGGAUUCUGAGACUGCAACCAGCUGUGGAAUGUGAUCAAGGUAAGAGGAGAGUGAUGGGAUCCUGAGAUGGAGAGGAAAGAGACAAUAGAACUACCAAAAUGGAAAAAGCAACCCCUGGAAACUGGAAUCAAAAAUUUCUGUCAGACGUAAGAGGUGGUAACAAAGCUGGACUGAGAAUGCUGCUGUGUUAACACCUUUGGAGUCUGAGCAAGUUGUACUUGGAGAAGUAAUGCUCACCUCGCACAGGCCAGGGGUGGAGAGGUGCCUUGCUACAUUUUUUUUUGAGGGAGGCAGGUCUCUCAGGAGGACCAUUUUAAACAUGAAUGGCAGCCCUGUGCCUCAUGUCUGGGAUUCCUCCCCAAAGGCAGGCCUGCCCUGGGGCUAGAGGGAAACAGCUGGGUUUAGUGGAAAGAACAACGGGCCUGGGAAUCAGGGGACCUGGAUUCUAAUUCCAGCUCUGCCAUUUGCCUACUGAGUAAUUAUGGGGAAGUCCCUUUUUUAUGAUACUUAAGCACUUACUAUGUGCCAGGCACUGUCCUAUGUGCUGUGGUAGAUAUAGCAUAAUCAUAUUAGACACAAUCCAAGCCCCAUAUUGGGCUCACAGUCUGAAUCCUCAUUUUGCAAAUGAGGUAACUGAUUUCUCUGUGCCUCAA